UAGGGAAUCUUCGGCAAUGGGGGGAACCCUGACCGAGCAACGUCGCGUGAGUGAAGAAGGUUUUCGGAUCGUAAAGCUCUGUUGUUAAGGAAGAACGAGUGUGAGAAUGGAAAGUUCAUACUGUGACGGUACUUAACCAGAAAGGGACGGCUAACUACGUGCCAGCAGCCGCGGUAAUACGUAGGUCCCGAGCGUUGUCCGGAUUUAUUGGGCGUAAAGCGAGCGCAGGCGGUUAGAUAAGUCUGAAGUUAAAGGCAGUGGCUCAACCAUUGUAGGCUUUGGAAACUGUUUAACUUGAGUGCAGAAGGGGAGAGUGGAAUUCCAUGUGUAGCGGUGAAAUGCGUAGAUAUAUGGAGGAACACCGGUGGCGAAAGCGGCUCUCUGGUCUGUAACUGACGCUGAGGCUCGAAAGCGUGGGGAGCGAACAGGAUUAGAUACCCUGGUAGUCCACGCCGUAAACGAUGAGUGCUAGGUGUUAGGUCCUUUCCGGGACUUAGUGCCGCAGCUAACGCAUUAAGCACUCCGCCUGGGGAGUACGACCGCAAGGUUG
rnacentral:rRNA from 1 species